rfam:Chloroflexi bacterium RBG_16_52_11 RBG_16_scaffold_64524, whole genome shotgun sequence.
GGGGACGUGCUGGAAUUGGCAGACAGGCAUGACUUAGGAUCAUGUGCCGCAAGGCGUGUGGGUUCAACUCCCACCGUCCCCA